CUUCAAGAAGAGAAGAAACUAUUGCAAUCUAAGUUGCGGAAAACUUCAACAAGCAGAAAUUCUAUUGAUGUUGACAAGAGUUCCGGUAAUAAAAAGGAUGUGUCAACAUCUACUGCAGAUUUAGACGCCAUCCCUUACACUUCUGACCAGGAAACAAAUGAUGCUACUUCACGUGUUGGAAGUGAUACCCUGAGUUUUCCCAUGCUAUCUGAAAAUGGCCAG
rnacentral:misc_RNA from 1 species